rnacentral:lncRNA from 1 species
CUUUCAUAGUUAGAUGAGUAGAAUAUGUAUUUGCAAAACAAUCUUUAUGUGACAAAAAAGCAAAAAUGAAUACAUCAUAAAGUGCAGGAAGUUCCUUGACGUGAUGUCACAGCUGAUGACCAAGUCAUGCUUAACUUGUGUAGACGCAAUAGCUGCCCUCUGUGAAAGAAAUAUUGAUUGAUACUAUUAGCAAUAAGGAUACUGUAUUAUACACUGAAUAUGUUGUAUUUCUUUUUUAAAGGUAAGCACUGAAAGACUCAGACUUUCAAUUCAGCUGAAUAGAAGUGAAGCCCUGAUUGAGUGGUUCAGCUCAGCACAAAGAACUAGAGCACAAUGAGGAGUUCUCCUUUGUUAGUAAUCCCGCAGCACCUCUCUUCAAGCUAUUUUGUUACUUGCCAGGUCAAAAUAAGAAAGUGAGUCUGCAAAGUUCUCAGCUGUAUUCAUUUCCUGCCUGCCCCAUCGUUAUAUGGCCAGCAUCUCUGAUUAGUUCUAUUUACAUAUUACAUACAUCACUGUCACAAUUAAUCUACAGGAAGCUGGUUUCUCAG